rnacentral:lncRNA from 9 species
GGGGCACAGGCUUGCUGGUGGCAUCCCGCACAGACACUCUCUCCUCACAGCUCCCACCACGGGGACUGGAGGCAGGAGGAGCCGACGGGCCCCUGGAACGGCCGCGGUGCGUCCAGAGGUGGGAGCCGCAAGCCCGAGGAUCGGCCGAGUCCCAGGGGACCCUAACGGAGGCCGGGCUGGAAGGCCAAGGUGGCUGCCACGUGGGAAGGUAUCCUUGACGUCCAGACAUGAUGCUACUGCAGACAUAAGAGACUGCAGACAUAGCAUGAAGCUAGCUUUUCCAUGCACUGGAACCAGCCAGUACUCACCAGGUUGAGCUGGUCUGGAGCUGAACCCAGCUUCUCCGAGGUCGGCCCGUGGUAGAUGCUCCUUAUCCGUUUCCCUGAAGCGACCAAGCACAGCACGAGAGCCCAAGGCCCCCAUGCAGAUAAUGGACAAAGGCAGGACUUCGUGUUAGUGGCCCACCUUCCUCUUCCUCGACGGUGGCUCCAGCCCCUUCAUGUCGCCUCCAAGCUCCUGCCCAAGUGUUCCCACCCGCACUGCUGGGAGCAGCUCCUCUGUGUUUUCAGGGCCACUUUGCUGUCGUCCUUUGAAGGUUCUCUUGGCGACUCUAGGAAGACUCCGUGGUACAGGUGACCUUCUGUAUCUGUGGAGGAUCGGUUCCCAGAUACCCCCGCCCACGGAUCCCAAAAUCCCAGGAGCCAAGCCUUGUCUAAAGUGCCGGAGUGCAGCCUGGCCUCCAGAACGCGUGAGAACAGAGCAGCCGUACUCUGUUUCCAACGACCGAUGGCCAAAGCCCCGCUGUGCGUGUUCUCUAUGGACUGAACAGCCAGUGGCCCUGUAGCAGUGAAGCCUCACACCGUCCUCCAGGCUGGAAGGGACCCUUGAGUCACAGAACUUGCCAGUUUGCAAACAUGUCUCUAGUUGUAACAACUUUCAUCUGUCAAAUGAGGGCUCUUCAUUUCUAAGGUUCUAGAAGCCGGCCGUGGUCAUAUAGUCCCUCAGCUGGGUGUACUGAAAUCUGGGCCAGAGGCACAGCUUCCUCGCUAAGACACCCCCCCACCCCAGCACCCUGCACACACACACAGGCAGAGGCCAAGCUGCCUGCCUCCCCGCACCCCCUAGAAUGCUAACCACUGGGGACCGAGGGGUAGUUCCUACCUUUUAUAUCCUUACAUACUGAAUCUGGCGCUGGCUCCUGGGCUGCAUCUUCUUAACUGCAAACACUCUAUACCAUCCCUCUCUGGUUCCACCAGCCACCACCCUCCUUCCGUGUCCUCCUCUGAACGUGCCUGAUAAAGGCUUUUGAGUGACUGAAUGAGUGGACGGCUCCCAUCUUCUGUCAUCUCAAUGAGUGCUGCUCCCCAGCUGACUGGAACCAGACGCCCUAGUUCCCAGGCUGGGUUUCCCUCCAGAUGUGUUCUCCUGCGGUGUCGGUUCCACCGUUAAACAGCUGUAUCGCUCAGCAGGUACGCAACGUUGAUGCGCCUCCAUUUCCUCCUCUGCAGAAUUGUGGGCGUUCCUGUCGUGGCUCAGCAGAAUCCGGCUUGUAUCCACGAGGAUGCGGGUUCUAUCCCUGGCCUCGCUCGGUGAAUCUGGGAUCCAGCCUUGCCGUGAGCUGUGGUGUAGGCCGGAAGCUGUAGCUCCAAUUUGACCCCUAGCCUGGAAACUUCCAUAUGCUGAGGGUUCGGCCUUAAAAACAACAACAACAACAAAAUAGUACUUACGUCAUAGGGUUGCUGUCAGCAUUAAAUGAGAGAGUCUGUUAAAAACGCCGAGAACAUUGCCUGGCAAUAUACAUUGCAGAAUACUCAAUAAAUAUUAGCUGGUGUUAUUUCAUACUUCAUCAAACACAACCUUCGUCACACAUCGCUGUGCUUCUUAUUUAAUUUGUUGACUUUCCAAAAAGACUGUAAGCUCACGUCUGCCGUGGUCUUAUCCCCAGCGUGGUGGUCUGGCAGGUGGUCAGGGGUCGAUACAGGUCUAAAUGCACCCCCGCGAGAAUGGGCGCGCUGAGGGCGGACACGAAUUUCUUCCACCUGUGACAUUUCAAAGAAUGGUUGAAACUGGUGCCUCUAUAACAUUUGAGAAGCAGACAGGAGACGCUAUUGCCAAGUGGCUACGUGCGCAGAGGGCGAAGCCAGAGGGGAUGAAUUGGAAGCCCAACUCCAACCUCAGCAGAACGUGACCGUACAUCAGCCAGCUUCUGUGCCUCUGUUUCCUCGUCUGUGAAAUGGGAAGGACGAUAAUAGCACCAACCUCGGAGGGUUUUCAGGAAGCUUGAAUGAGUUCAUGUUUGGAAGGUCGUCGGCAUCACGUAAGUGCUAGCUGCCAUCUGCGCCAUUGGUAAGGACAUGACACAAAGAAGACUUGAGAGAGGAAAAAGCCACCAUGGCUGGAAGGCAGGGCUCAGAACAGGCCUGGGGCCAGGCCAGGAGGGUCCUGCACCAUUGACCUAUGGUCCGAGUAUUUUUGGUUCACAUGGUCCAGGCCACUCUUGAGGGCAGGGGCUUGGGGGGCGGGGAUUCUAGAAGCCUGAUUUGCACUGCCCUGCCCCCCAGCUCUCAGCACAAACCCUGCCCCCAGGGAGGGAAGACGCAUCCCGGCCCAGCCCUGCUGCUCCUCGGGGGCCUGUUGAGGUCGCGGCCACUCCUCCCACCCCGCCAGCUCCCCCUGGGGACUUUGUCAUCACCACGUGGUUCAGGGACCCUCCAGACCCCCGGGGUGGCUGUCCUCUUCUCCGCUGCUGCGCCUCCAAGCCCGGGCCUCAGAGGAGCCCGGCUGCCACAGGACAGCCACCUCCUCCCUGGGCCUCACCGUCACUGACCCAAAAAUGGGUCAGAUUUGCUCAAGAUUCAUGACUUUUACAUAACGCUGCUGUUAAACACAGGUGUGCCUAAUUAAACGAUUUGAAUAAGAUGCUAAUAAAUGAACCCACUGCCUUGCGAUGGCCAAGCUCUCACUUCAGGAUCGCAACACGAGUGCAGAUACGAAUGCCUGGCUGGCGACGGGUUAAAGAAGUCGGUAUCGGCAGGGCUUUCAGGAAGGAUCCAGAGCGUGGUCCACGAGGUUCCUCAACUGAUGGGGCAGCAGGGACAGCUUCCCUCACUGGUGCCCGCUCACUGCCUGACGGGGGGCAGAGUCCAUCCAGGCAACACACAAUUUCAAAAAUGUGUUUAUCUUCUUUUUUUCUUUUUGUGGCCACACCAGUGGCCUAGGGAAGUUCCCGGGCUAGGGGUCGAAUCGGAGCUGCAGCUGCCGGCCUGCUCCACAGCCACAGCAGCUGGAAUCCGAAUCUCGUCUGUGACCCACACCACAGCUCAGGGCGACGUCGGAUCCUUAACCCACUGAGCGAGGCCGGGGAUCGAACCUGGGUCCUCAUGCACACUAGUCGGGGUCUUAACCCUCUGACUCGCAAUGGGAACUCCUAAAACGUUUUCUGACGGGGAUGCAGUCCCCCUUUAGACUGGCAUGCCGCGGCAUAAAGGCGGAAAUGCAGCUUCCUUCGUUCCACGCAGGGCCUCGCUCUCUGGACAGAGGCGGGAGGUGGGACAGGCAGACGGGAACUCUGGGCUCGUGGCGAGAUUAUCCUGGAAGAGAAGACCGUUCAAACCGCUUGAAGCCCGUUGGGAUCCAAGGUAAGCGGCUUCACAAUCAGCCAAAGAUAAAAUGUUUUGAAAAGCACUGAAACUUCCUAUAGUGAGGGGUUAACUCCGUGGAGGCAUCUGGCCGCGUGGAGAGGGGCCUGGCAAGCAGAGCUGAGCGGCGGCAGGAAGGGAAGAGGCUGCCUCCCGCCGGGGCACACAGCCCACAGGCCUCCUGCGCGUGCUGGCCAGUGAUCGGCCAGGAAGGAUGACAGCGUGGCAGCAAGAGGCCACCGCGUGCUCCGAGGGGCUUCAGAUCCCUCCGUGCCUCUUGGUUUGACCCUGGCUUCUUGACUCCUCACGUUCCCCAGCACUACCACGGACCAGACCUUCUAGGACCAACCCUAUACCUCUUCCUCCAACCUCCUCUUGGCCAUGAACUCAGAAGCCAAGGACCCCGCUGACAUCCUGCUGCGGAUGGAUGGCUCGCACCGGCUGGGACCCCAGGUUUUCCUGUUACGUGUCGCCGAAGCCUCUCACAAGCCCUGGAAACAUCAUCAGGCACAGGAAGUUCUCAGCAAGAAUCUGAUUUUGGUUCUCCGUGACUCCCCCUCAGGGAUUAGUCUUUGUAGUACAUUUCCAGAGUUCCCGCUGUGGCUCAGUUGGAAGGAACCCGACGAGUAGCCGUGAGAACACGGGUUCAAUCCCUAGCCUCGCUCAGUGGGUUAAGGAUCCAGUGCUGCUGUGAGCUGUGUGUAGCUCGGAUCUGGCAUGGCUGUGGCUGUGGCCUGGCAGCUGCAGCUCCGAUUCAACCCCUAGCCCAGGAACUUCCAUAUGUCGCAGGUGCAGUCCUAAAAAGGAAAAAAAAAAAAAAAAA